UCCCUGAUGGUCCAGUGGUUAGGACUUGGCGCUAUCAACGGCCCAUGGCCCGGGUUCAAUCCCUGGUCGGGGAA